rnacentral:lncRNA from 1 species
GAAAUAAACAUAUUCAUAUAUGUUAGAAAAAAAUUACAACAUAAUUUUCUAACGAAAAGGAACCCUGCCAAUGUAUAAUUUCACACAUAUAUAGAAUAUUAAUAUUUUGCGUCAAAGCUGUAUUAGCCAAAGGAUUGGCUAAAUAUUCGCCGGAAAACUACCGACUACCCGGCGCAUUUGUAGAGAUGCUACCUUUGGCCUCAAUGAGGUGACGGCGGCGAAGAACUUUUCAAUUUCCGUGAUGGAUAAUCCUGGUUGAAGUUGAUGGAAUAAUACUCAUAAAAUUGUGAGUUUCACCUUUACUAGUUGGAGUUGAUGGAACAGUGUUAGAAAAAGGAUAUCGAAUGAUCAAUUUAUCAUUAACUCCAAAAUGACGAAUAUUAUAGAGCUUUAACAAAGGAAAAUCAAACCUUCUGCCUAUUCGGAGUGUUGAAAGUAUAUUAUUUUUUAUAUUCCAAUCAUUGAAAGCAUGUUGCUGAGGAAUAUCAAGGGCCAUGGCUUCUUGAUAUACAGCAAGGAGCAACAUGGAAAGGAACAAAGCAAAAAAGGAGGAAGCCAUUAUACUUAUUUUCAGUUGAAUUUGCAUGAAUGAAUAUGAAAAGUAUAUUUAUAGAGGGGCGUAUCUAGAGGGGUGCCGUGGGUUCAGGUGAACCCAUGCUCCACUCUCUAGAUCAUAAAUAGUAGGGUUAUAUUUUAAAAAAAUAUUUAAAUAUAGAUGUGUGAACCCACGUUCAAAAUAUCAUAUAAUAAUAUGAUGAUGAUGAUCGGGUGCACCUCUCUAAGUGAGAAUAGAAAUUUAAGUCUUAUAUCUAUCUUCUAAUUUGAAUAACAUCUCUCCAAGUGGUUAUCAAUUACACUUUUGGUGUUUCAACUAAUUUUCUUUUGUUUUUUCCUUAAAUCUUUCAAAAUUUUCAAGUGUGUUACGUUGAAAAUUUUUAAAAAAUUUAGCACUGUAAUUUUUUUUAUAUAAUUAAAUCAAAUGUGUAUAUUAAAAUUUAAAACUAAUAGUAUUAUAUAUUUUGAGCCUAUAAUUUUAAAAAUUUAAUGAUUCAUAUUAAAAACCUAAAAGUCAAACUGAUUAAAUUUAUAUUUAAGAAGCAUUUUCUUGUAAUCGUACACCCAUCUUACUUAAAUCCUGAAUACGCCUCUAAAUUAUUGUAUUAUAGUACUAGAUUUGAAGUCGGUAAUAAGUACAACAACACUAAUUGCCUAUGGAAUGAGUGGAUAAUAAGGCACAGUUGAAUGAUUCCAAAAAGUCUUCAUCUUCGAAAAAUGAACGUGCCAUUUCCAGUUUUCAUAUUUUGCUUCCCCAUAUCUAAGAAAAGAAAAAAGAAAAUCUAUCUCAAAAUACCAUUGUCAUUUGUCAUCUAUCUCAAAAUACCAUUGUCAUUUGUCAAGGCAAAUAGAAUAUUUUAAAUUAUUCAAAUGCAGUGUACUUUGUUGACUCAUGUUGUUGCAACUGUAUGGCUAAAGAAUAUUUAAAUUGUUUCUUUUGCUUUUGCUCUUUGCAAUUAAGACCAUCUCCAAUCCACCUCUAUUUUACUUUUAAUUUUUAAUAUUUUUAGAGUAAAAUAGAAAAUAAAUACUCCAAUCUAUUUUUAUAUCACUCACUAUUCUUUAAGUUUAGAGAGGUGAAUAGUAAUUCUUUAAAUUUAAAAAACUACUAUUCACACUCUUUAUUUCAUUUUUUGAUUAUUUUAUUAUUAUUUCUAUUACUUUCUAAUUAUCAUAUUAUUUUACAUAUAAUGUCAUUAAUUAAAUAUCUAAUAUUCAUACUUCUUUUUAAAUGUAAUAUAAUAUUUUAAAAAUAUAUAUUAUUUAAUAUAUACUACUUUCAUUCGAAUUAAUAGUAUUUAAAUUUUUUCUGAUUUUCGUCGAUAAUAUAUUUUGAUUUUAUUAUUAAUUUUCACUAUAAAGAAGACACAAAAUUAAAAUGAUAAUAUGAAAAUUUAAUUUAAAAAUGCAACACAUAAUUUGAUUUUAAUUUAAAUACAAGAUAACAAUAGAAUGCAUAACAUAAUAAUUUAAAUACAAGAUAAAAUUCAAUACAAUUCUAGCUAUCCUCUCUCUUCUUUUGUGUGACCAUGAUGUUUUGAUCCUUAGGAUAUAUUAUUUUUUUGUUUCAAUUUAUGUGAUACUGGAGAGUUAAUCAAUGUUUUAAAAAUCAUAUUUUUCUAAUUUGUUAGAAAUUUAUGUUGUAAUUGUUUUAAACGUAUAUGCAUAUGCUUAUUUUGUUUCACUUUAUUUGUUUUAGUUUGAUUUGAUAUAAAAUUAAAAAGAAAAAGAUAUAAAUUUUUAAAAACUUGUGAUCUUAUGAUAGCACAACAACAUUAAUUGUGUACCAAUUGUCUUGUGGUCCACCACGUGAAGAUUAAAUAAAUAAAUAAAAAAGAUAUGUCUUUGUCAAUUAGGAAAUAACUUUUUUAUUGAGACUUAUAAUGGGACCACUGUGCGACAAAGAUGUCAUCACUUUGUAAUCUUAUGAUAGCAACAAGUACAUAAUAAUAAGGAAAAGAUUCCAAAAAGUAACAGAAUCAACAAUUAAAAGAAAAAUGCACGUGGCAGUCCUAUUUUUCAUAUUUUGCUUUUCCAUAUCUAAGAAAAGACCCAAAAAAAACUACUAUCAUCAAUUUUAUUUUAAAAAAUAAAUGUACAAUAUAUUAUCCAUAAUAUAUUAGAAACCUAACAUAAUUUUUAGUGAAAUGAUUCUUUUCUAUACAUAUAUCUGAGAUUAUUUUAGAUCAUAAAUUUCAAAAAAAAUAAAAAAAAUCUUUCUCAAAUUACCAUGUCUAAGUCAAAUAGAAAAUUAAAACGUAUCACGGAACUAGACAAUGUUGUCUUUCAAUAUUUUCAAAUUAUUCAAAUCGCAGCGUACUUUGUUGGCUCAUGUUGUUGCAACUCUUUUGUGUUAAUUGGUUACCAAAUUCCCCCCUCUUGAUAUUGAUAUCUUUAAUUUGUUGCUUUAUUUUAUGUUGCGCAAACCUUACGUUUCUACAUGAGAUUAGGACACAAUUGCACAUCGUAAUUGAAUUCUCUCUCAUAUCACUCCCUGUGGGAUCGACCUCAACUCUCUGUAGGGUUUAUACUUGUUAGUGACUGCCUACACUUAGAAUCGAAUGAAGUGUAGUUGAGCGUUAUAAAAAAUGGCAUCGCUGCCGGGGAGUGGUGCAUAGAAUUCUUUUAUUGAAGUGUUUUUGUGAAUCAAUUUUAUUGUAGUUGAAUUAUCCUAUUUUUGUUCUUUUUGAUUGCUCCAAAAUAGGUGAAGAAAUGAGUGUGAACGGGAGCAAUGCAAGUCAGCUUGGGAAUAAUGAUGACAUCGUAAACUUGUAGUGACUUACACUUCCUUAAGCACUUUGCAAUUUUAGACUUCAUCACCCAUUAUUUUCUUCUCUUUAUUUUCAGCCCUCUCUUUAACAAUUAUUUCACAAGUAAUUCUCAUCAUCUCAAGAAUGCUUCAAUUAGUUUUUUUUUCAAAGUUUUUUUUUAUAUGCCUUUUCACUAGCCACCCUCAAUUGAGGUGCACAAUAUCCUUGGUAGGACUAUGGCCAAUGUUUGAGCAUACUUCUAAACUAGUCACCCUCAAUUGAGUUGAGGUGCACAUUGUCCAUUAAGGAUCAGGGCCAAAACAAAGUUUUUCAAUACUUUUAUUUUCCACACAACAUAGCAGGGCUACUUUUAUUUUUUUCAUCACAUUCUUUCAACGAGGGCUUUUUUAGCAUGUUGUAGUUAUCAUUGAUUACCUUUUCACUCAACCAUCCCCUUUUCUUCAGAUUUAACCACUAGAAUAAGUUUAUGCUACAAUGCUCAAGGAAGCAGUGUGCAAAAACUAGGGAUUUAACAAAAAAGUCAAGGCAAAAAUAUGGCUACCAAUAAAAAGCUGCAGGCUCAAAGGGGCUACUAGUGAUAUGUAUCUGAAAAGGCUAAAAUUUACAAGACAAAUCAAAGAAAAACUAUUAUUAUCUCCUAAACAAGCAACACUUUGUAUUUCGCUUCAAUAACAUGCAGGGAAGUUCUAGACUAAGAUGCAAAACAUGGAAUAAGCAAAUUCUCACCACACAUGGCACAAGUAUAUAUAUCAAUCAAGAUGGAUCAAUUCCACUUCUAAGAGAGACAUGAUCAUAACAAACUACAAAAUAAAAUAAGCUAAUAUACAAAGUCACCACCAUGAGCCUAGAUGUCAAAGAGUUUGCAAUUUCAAUAGCAACCAAGCAUUCACAAGAAAGUAUUACUUAAAAUUAGGCCUAAAUAGCAAGUAUCACAAAACUCAAAAGGGUCUUUUUUUUUCUCUCCAAAAACUAAUAAAAAAUAAAAUUUACUUCCUAAAAGAAUAAAAGACACUCGGUUCAAAAGAACUAUCCUCUGGAAAAGAACCGAAAACAAAGGCCAAGGAAUUCAUCCUAAAAAAAAAAAAAAAAAGACUCAAUAAAACAGUAAAACUAGGAAUUCAUUCCCCCACCCCACACUUAAAAUAUGGCACUAUCCCCAAUGCAACAACAUAAGUUAAUGAGUGAAAGAAAGAAUCUUUUUAAAACUAUAUUAAACAAAUCUAACGCACACUUUACCCUAACCAAAAUAUGUGGAAGAAUUCACACCCCACACUUGAAAAGAUGUUAUGUCCCCAAAACAUCAAUUAAAAUUUUAAAACAAGGGUUAGGAAAACACUCUGGGGCCUCUAGGCCUAGCUAGUAGCAUGCUAUCUUAAUUUUCAUCAAGGGUCGUCACCCACACUUGAGCUCAAACGUGCUCCUUUGCUUCAAAUUCAUGGGUACUCAGACUUCUCCUAAUCUGCAAAAACAAGAUCAAAAGAAAAAAAAAGUGACAUUAAAAAAAUAAAAAUAAAAGUUACACUAGAAAUUGGGUUGCCUCCCAAUAAGCGCCUAAUUUAACGUCUGGCACGACACAAGUAAGUUCACCACUUUUCUUUCCACUUUGAACUCAUGAAUUGCACCCAUAACUUUACAUCUAUUUGUUUGCUUUCUCAAGGGGUGGUGGUAUAAAGAUAAAAGAACCAAGUAAUAUAUGUUGCAUCUUGCACUUCUUGGUCCUUAUGUGAGGAAUAUUCGUUUGUCUACGUGGACUAGAAAACCUUAGGAUGUAGGGGCCUUGUUCCUCAUCUAUACAGUUCUCUAUUAGUUCAGAUGACUCGAAUGAUACAUCAACAUCUAAACAUAAUGUUGAAAAGUGAUUUGAAUGGGGUCCAAUACGUCCCUUUUCCAAACUUACACCAAUUGCAACAUGCUCAGUUUUAUACUCUUUCCUAAAUGUGGUAUCUUCAAGAAAAGUCUGAUUUCAUUGCAUCUCCUUCCGUUUUAGAUCCUCAAUUUGACUUUGUGAGUGCCUUUUUCGGUAUCACAAAACUCAUAAUUGAAUUGUUGAGCGUCAAACGCAGCAACCUUUGCAUUCAAUUCAUUGCUUAAGUUCUGAGUAGGCAAGAAAAACAUAUUAACAUCUUGAAAGUGCUUCAUUUUUCUAUCUAUAAGGCGUGACAUCACAUAUAUGAUUCUCCUACGGCGCUCUUCAGAUUCAUUUAUUAAUUUCCUGUAAGAUUUCAUACUAUCAAAGGAACAAAGAUUAUUAGCAUCAUCAUGAGAGAGUUUUUGGAGUAGGGUAGCAACACACGGUGCAACCGACCCACAACCCCCUACAAAAUUCACAGGAUAGAGAUGGUGCACACAAUUCUCCCUCGAGAAUAUAAUUACAUUGUUGCCAAAUAUGAGCUCCUUUGCAAUAAGGACAAGGUCUUACCACUUGUGAAUAAUCCUCAUUCUCGCUCAUUCCACGAAAAGCAAUAAUUAGUAGAAAAAACAUAUGUAUCAAAAUAAAUAAACAAAUAAAAAGAAAAAGUAUAACUUAGAAGAAUAGUUAAUUUCUAAGUCCCCGACAGCGAUGCCAAAAACUUGUUGAUUCCAAUUGCACACGCAAGUGUACGCGGUCGCACAAGUAAUAUAGUGGCUCUUAAAAGAACCGGAUUAACAAACCCAGAGGACUUGUCAAUUAAUUAUUCUUACUAUAUUAUAUUAAUUCUAAUUAUUUAUUUAAGGGGAGGAUUUCAAGAGAUGAAUAUAUAAACUAAAAAUAAAGAUAAAAUAACUAAAAAGCAAUUAACUAAGAAAAGAUAGAUGUUUACACAAUCAAUGAAUGAAUCGAUCUAGGAUUAUAAUUUAACUAACAAUCAUGUUUAGCAUCAAUUUCAUCAACUUAUUUGAUUAUCUAGUUAUUGAUUCACAGGGUUAAAUGUAUGAUCAUGGUCUCCNNNNNNNNNNNNNNNNNNNNNNNNNNNNNNNNNNNNNNNNNNNNNNNNNNNNNNNNNNNNNNNNNNNNNNNNNNNNNNNNNNNNNNNNNNNNNNNNNNNNNNNNNNNNNNNNNNNNNNACAAUAUGUUUAUUUCAAUGGUGAUCAAGCAUCAAAAUAGUAAUCACAAGAAUAUAAGAACAACUAAUAUAAUAAGCAAAUCAUGCCGAAUCAAAAUCACUAAACAAUCAUAUUGUAAGUAAAUAUAAUCCAAGAACGAGAAGUUUAACUCAUCAUAGACAUAGAGCAAUACAACCCAUUAUUCAAAGAAAAUAUAUAAAAUAAAUAAAAGAGAAAGAAAAGAUAAAAUCCUAAAUCAAAAGUUAGUUUUUACAUCCAUCCUCCUUUCUAAUAAUUAUUCUUAUAGACUAUUUAUAGAUGUAGGAAACUCUGACUAAAAUAAUUGAGUCCAAAAUAAAUUGGGAACCCAAAACCUUGACGGAAUUGGAUUCCACGUGAAACUGUGUUUCGUCCGCCGCCUUCAAUCAGGAGUGCCUUCACAUGAUGCCACGUGGCAGCAACAACAACUAAUAUCAUGCUUUCUUCGCUUUGCAUUCUGCAACUUUCUAACAUAUAUGAAAUAUUAUUAUUAUUAUAUUAAAGUUAAUUCAUUAAGCUGUCUAUUUGAUUUCCUUAUUCAAUCUUCCAUCUUUAAUUCUUUUUAGCUCCAAAAUUCUUCAUUUUCCAUCAAUUAAAUCCUACAAAUAAAAUACACUAUUAAGCACAAUUCAUAAAAUCAAUGCUCAAAAAAGACAAAUAUAAAUAAUAAAUGUAAGGCAAAUAAUUAUUAAAAAUAUGUAUUUUGGCCUCAUAUUAUUGUAUCUUUGGCAAAAGAGGUGAGUAAUUUUUUGUCAAGAAAUUGCAAUCAUUUCUCUCUCAACCCAUUUUUCUAUGCCACAAAUCUGUAGAAAUCUCUUCAUGAGCCGCAUUCAAUUCACUUUGGCAUAUUUCUACAUUUGUCCUGUAUAAUGUGUCACGAGCAACUCCUUUUGCAAUCACCAAUUUCCCUUUAGUGAGUCUCCUUUUUUAUUUACAAAGUAGUUCUCGUAUUCAUCUCGGUCCAAACAAACUCUCAAGAUCAAGUUCAUCCGCAUAUUAGGUACGUGGCGCACAUCAUUCAAAACCAAUGUGCAUCCGACGUUUGUCUUUAUACAAAUGUCUCUGAUCCCCGUUAUUUUUGAAUAACUGGUGUUACCCAUUUUCACAUUUCCAAAAUUACCUACUACAUAUCUGUAAAAAAAAAAUUCUUACCAAUGUGGCAUGAUAUGAUGUUGUUGUGUCGACCACCCAUUUCGACUCUACACCUGUCAUGUGCAUGCAUUCUUUUUCUUCGUUUAUGAAGAGAAUAGCACUAUCAUUAUCUUGCACCAUGAUAGCUCUGUUGUCAUCAUUCUUCUGGCCACUGAUUUCUCCUUUACCCCAUUUUAGAUUAAGACAAUCUCUUCUGAAGUAACCUGAUUGAUCGCAAUUAUAGCAAUUUCUGAUUUUUGAUUUUGAUCAAACCUUGAACUUUCUACGUGCUCUGGAUAUACCGUAGCUGGUUGAACUCCUUUGGUAACUCCUACCUCUACUUUCUGUAAUAAGAGCAUGUUCAUGGUUUUCAAGAUUUUUCUUAUCUUCUCAUUAAGUAGUAAGUAGUAAAGUUGAUGUGACAUCAUUAAGCACAAUAAAGUCCUUACCAUAUAAUAUGGUUAUUGCCAAAUUAUCGUGGGAAGAUGGAAAGGAGUAUAGGACUAUGGCUUUAACUUUCUCCUCGUUUUUUACUCCAAGAUUUGCUAGAUGCGUGAUUAGUAUAGUACGGUAGGCCACAAAAAAAUUAUGUAAAUGAGUAGAACAUGUGCUCUGAUACCAAUUAUUGGGAUUAAACCCACCACAUAAAUAAUAUUUGGGUUAAUAAAAAUAAUAAAAACGAAACACAACAAUACAUUUAAUCAACAAGAAUAAAAAGAGUAAUAAUAACACCAAGAUUUUAUGUGGUGACCGUCCUGAAUAAGGGACAAAUAACAGUUCAAGAGGAGCAACUGAUAUCACUAUUGUAAUGAUUCUUUGCACUUGUAAGUCUGAGUAAAAACUCCAAAAACAACUACACACUCAAAAGAAAUAACCCUCUUUUGAUUUUGUUACCUCACUACAAUAUUGCUCACACUUUCUGUUUUUUCUCACAAUUAUUUCCCUCUAUGAUAUAUCAAUCUUCUUUUCUCUCCUUUGUUUUUGAUAUAUUUGAGAAUGAAAAAUAACUCUCCCUUUUACAAAGGACAAAUGCAGUAGCCUCCAAAUAUGCUAUAGAAAAAAUAUUUUUUUCUUCUUCACGGGUUACCAAUAUUUGACUUUAAGGAAAGCUGAAAAAAUCAGCCAAAUAAAUUGACACACGUAUAUUCAAUUUCUUCUAAAUCUUGUCAACCUUUGAAAUUGUGAGAUUUAUUAAAGUUUGACACAUGAGAAUGGACUCCACAGAUGAGAAAAGACACAAAAACUAAUGAAGACAACCUUUAAAAAGACAGUAUGAAGAUAUUUCUCAAAAUUAAAUUUUAUUUUUAUUCUAUGUUAACGAUCUAAUUAGACCGUGCUCUGAUACCACUUUUUAGAAAACUUUAAAAAAUUCUGCCAAGAUUACAAGUAAAUUACUAGACAUAGAUAUUAAUCUAGAAGAAUGGUAGGAACACUAACCUUGUUCCAUUGCAAUAACUUGAUUGAAGAAGACAAUAACUUGAUUGAUGAACUUGGUCGUUCAAAAUGAUGAACUUGAUCUUUUAAAACCAUAAAGAUUACUUUCUGAGUGUUCUUUUCGGAGAUAGAGAGAAAAAGACGAAGUAUUUCUUCUAGUUCUAGGACCCAAUCUUUUUAAAAGAUUUUGAAGUGCCUUUUCAGGAAAGGUACAUUUUCAGGUUUAAAUGAUAUUUUUUUAAUAAGUUUCCAUCAGACUUAAGAAAAGGUCAAUGAGUUUCAAGCUAUCUAAAAUAAACCUAUAUUAAUAGAUAUUAAUUUUUAAGGCCCCAAGCUUUAAUAUUUUAUUAGAUUAUACAAUGGGCUACUUUAAUGAUAGCAUAUCUAUGUAUAAUAUACUAGCGAACAUUUUCGCGCUUCGCGCAAUCAUAAAACUAUUUAUAAAUUUAAAAAUAAAUUUAUUUAAAUAUAAUCAAGAUAAUAACAUUUUUCCAUGCAUAUCCUUACAAAAUCUAUAAUAUACAUUAAAAAAUUUCUUUCUAAUAAAAUAAAGUAAGCAUGUAAUGAAAAGUAAAGGUAGAAAAAAGUAGAAAUGAAAUGUAUAUUUGAUAUAGUUUCUUAGCUUCUUUUUUUUUCUAUUCCCAUUAUCUAAUAUCCCUCUCAAUUAUUUAUACCUUAAAUAAUAAGUUCUAGUUGAAAAAUAAGUUAUUUUCUCUCGAUUUUGUAUCAUGUUCUUCUUAUCUCCGUUUUAAUACCCUCUUAUCCUACUUCCUCUUUUUUUUCCGGACCAUUAGUUGCAUCAAUCCUUCCUAUAUUUAUUUAUUUACUUUAUUUCAUUAUUUUCUUGUUCCCCUAGCUUUUGUUGCUAGUUAAAGAUUGCGAUCUAUUUUUAAAUAAUCAAAAAGAAAAUUAUAAAAUAUUUUCAUCACCUAUUUGAAAUCUAACCUCUUUCAUCUUUCCUUGUCUUCUAUAGUAAUUGUCUUUUCCUAAUUAAUUGACAAAUUAUUAAGUUAAAUUUAGAUUUUUAAAUUAAAAUGAUAAGUACUAACAAAUUAAAGAGACUCAUAAAUACAAUAAGUGGUAGUUAACAAUGAGUAAUUGAAAAAAAAAUGAGUAACGUAUAUUGAGGAGAAUUAUUUUAAGUAGUGACUUUUGAUUAUUAUUUUUAUUGUAAUGAAAAAAUAGAUUAAUAAAAUUAGGAGAAUGGUAAAAAAAAAAAAAAAGAGAAAAGUUUUAGUCAGAACUCAUUUAUGUAGUGAUGACCCUUGAUUUAAUAUCUCCUUCAUACUUUGAAUAGCUAGGGUAGCCAGUUGACACAUUUUUCCUUUCACUUUCUGCAAUUAAUGGAACAAACUUGUGUAUAACAAAAAUGAUACUAAGCAAUUAUAUAAAAGAUAUAUAGUUAUUAUAAGAAAAUGAUAUAAUAUACAAAUAUAGUAUGAACUAAGGAAAAACUUUUACUUUAAAGUAAUUGUCUUGUCAAGCUUUCAUGGCCACUUCACCGGUUUAGCUUUUACUAUAACAACUAAUAAGUAAAUCACAUUACUUUGAUUCACAUAAAAGAAUUUGUCAAUAUAAUUAUCCAUUAUUCAUCCAAUAAAAAUAAUAAUUAAUAUUACCUGAUGAAACGUAGUAUCAUGAGUUUUUCACCUGGCAUAGUGGAGAAAUUAGCUUUGUUUCUAAACUUCUAUCAUUUUAUUGAGUGCCUGAAUAUGAAGAGGAGCAACACUUAAAACCUAUUAAUAAAAUACUAUUAAUUAUUAGGAAGGAAAAGGAGAUUAUUGAAAUUAAUUUUCUGGAUAAAAAAUAAGUGAAACACUAAUGAAUACUAAUAAUAACAUUAACAAAUAUAAUAAAUGUUGAUUAUGGGGAAGCAUAAGAGAUUAAUUUUUCUGGCAGAAAUUUUCUUGAACAUUAAUACAUACUUCUUUAAUAAGGAGAGAAUUUAAUAUUAUGCUUUAAUAUUUUGUAAAAACUUAAAGUAAUGUUUUAUAAUAUUUCAUGUCUUUUAAAAUGAUAGAAAAUGGCCAAAAAAAUCACAAAAAAAGAUAAAUAGGUUUCUAGCCCUUAAAGACAUGCCACAUCAUCCAGUCUAACAUAUAUAUAUAUAGAUAGAUAGAUAUGUGAGUCCACAAAAUAGAAAUUAUUAACAUGUAUAUGUACUAUAUUUUUAACGAUAGAUAUAUCAAUUCUAAAUCGCAAUGUUAAGGGAUACAUUUAUCUUUUUUUCUCAUUUUUUAAUAUUAAGGAUUUGUUAAGUCCUAUACAUUGGAAUUGCUUGUUUAGUGAAAACUGUGGGGUCCAUCCCCAGUUGCCAAAUCUCACAAUUUCAAAAGGUUGGCAGAUUUGGAAGAUAUUGGAUAUACAUGUGCAGAUUUUUUCAAAGGUUGGUAAGCUGCAAAGAAGAAAAAAUUGUUUUUCUUCUGUAGCAUAGUUGGAAAAAUACUACACUUGUUAUCUAUAAAAGGGAGAGUCUUCUUCAUUCUCAAAUGCACCAAAAACAAAGGAGAGAAGAAGAAUGAGGCAUCACAUAGGAAAUUAGUCUGUGUGGAAAAAAUAGAAAGUGUGAGCGAUAUUGUAGUGAGGUGGAAAAAUCAAAAGAGGAUUAUUUCUUUUGAACUGUGUAGUGGUCUUUGGAGUUUUUACUCAGACCUACAAGUGUAAAAUUCCUUACUAUAGCGAUAUCAGUUGCUCCUCUCAGGCAAUGGUUUUUCCUUUAUUCAGGAGGGUUUUCACGUAAAAUCUUGGUGUCAUUAUUGCUCUUUUUAUUCUUGUUGAUUAACUGCAUUGUUGUGUUCCACUUUUAUUGCUUUUAUUACCGCAAAUAUUAUUUAUGUUGCGGAUUUAUUCCCAACAAUUGGUAUCAGAGCCACGUUCUCCUCAUUUACAGAAAUAUUUUUACAGCUUUUCGUACUAUACUCAGUGAAAAAAAAUGUCUGGAGUAAAGUACGAGGUAGCAAAAUUCAACGGUGAUAGAGGUUUCUCAAUGUGACAGAAAAGGAUGAGAGACUUGCUUAUCCAACAGGGUUUGCACAAGGCACUAGAUGGCAAAUCCAAAAAGCCCGAAUCCAUGAAACUUGGGUAUUGGGAAGAAAUGGAUGAAAAGGUUGCUAGUGCAAUCAAGUUACACUUAACAGAUGAUGUGGUUAAUAACAUCAUCAAUGAAGAGAGUGCAUGUGGCAUUUGGACAAAGACAGAAAAUUUAUACAUGUCCAAAAUGCUAACAAAUAAAUUGUACCUAAAGAAGCAGUUAUACGGCCUACAUAUGGGUGAAGGUACACAUUUUUUGUCUCAUUUAAAUGUGCUUAAUGGACUAAUCACGCAGCUAGCAAACCUCGGAGUAAAGAUCGAGGAGGAAGAUAAAAUCAUAGUACUCCUAAACUCAUUGCCAUCUUUCUACGAUAAUUUGGCAACAACCAUCUUAUAUGGUAAGGACUCUAUUGAGUUGAAGGAUGUCACAUCAGCCCUUUUGCUUAAUGAGAAGAUGAGAAAAAAGCCUGAAAAUCACGGACAGGCUCUCAUCACAGAAAGUAGAGGCAGAAGUUACCAAAGGAGUUUAGGCAACUAUGGUAGAUCCGGAGCUCGUGGAAAGUCUAAGGUCCGAUCAAAAUCAAAGGCCAGAAAUUGCUACAAUUGCGAACAACCAGGUCACUUCAAAAGAGAUUGUUCGAAUCUAAAAAGAGGCAAAGGAGAAAGCAGCGGCUAGAAGAAUGAUGACAACACAGUUGCCAUGGUGUAAAAUAAUGACAAUGUUGUUCUCCUCAUAAACGAGAAAGAGGAAUGCAUGCACUUGGCAGGUGUAGAGUCGGAAUGGGUGAUCGACACAACAACAUCUUACCAUGCCACAUCGGUAAGAGAUCUUUUUUGCAGAUAUGUAGCAGGUGAUUUUGACAAUGUGAAAAUGGGUAACACAAGUUGCUCAAAGAUUGUGGGGAUCAGAGACGUUUGCAUAAAGACAAAUGUCAGAUGCAUAUUAGUUUUGAAAGUUGUACACCACAUACCUAAUUUACGGAUGAACUUGAUCUCGGGAGUUGCUUUGGAUCAAGAUGGAUAUGAGAACUACUUUACAAAUAAAAAAUGGAGACUCACCAAAGGGGCAUCGGUGAUUGCAAAAGGAGUUGCUUGUGGCACGUUGUACAUGACAAAUGCAGAAAUAUGCCAAAGUGAAUUAAAUGCGGCUCACAAAGAGAUUUUUGCAGAUUUGUGGAAUAGAAGAAUGGAUCAAAUGAGCGAGAAAGGAUUGCAAAUUCUUUCCAAAAAAUCACUCAUCUCUUUUGCCAAAGGUACAACGAUAAAACCUUGUAACUACUGUUUAUUUGGUAAGCAACAUAAAGUCUCAUUUCAGACAUCAUUUGAAAGAAAGUUGAAUAUACUUGAUUUGGUAUAUUCUGAUGUCUGUGGUCCAAUGGAGAUAUAAUCGAUGAGAGGUAAUAAAUACUUUGUUACCUUUAUUGAUGAUGCUUCACGAAAAUUGUGGGUUUAUAUCUUGAAAACCAAUUAUCAGGUGUUUCAAAAUUCUUGCUCUGGUAGAAAGAGAGACGGGUCGGAAGCUAAAACGUCUCCGAACUGACAAUGGAGGUGAGUACACUUCAAGAGAAUUUGAAGAGUAUUGUUCAAACCAUGGAAUCAGACAUGAAAAGACAGUUCCUAGAACCCCACAACACAAUGGUGUAGCUGAGAGAAUGAAUUGCACCAUUGUUGAGAAGGUGAGAAGCAUGCUCAGAAUGGCUAAAUUACCUAAGUCAUUAUGGGGUAAAGCAGUUCGGACAACAUGUUAUCUUAUCAAUUGUAGUCCAUCACUUUCGUUGGAAUUUGAAAUUUCGGAGAGAGUUUAGACCAACAAGGAGAUGUCUUACUCGCACCUAAAAGUGUUCGGUUGCAAAGCUUUUGCACAUGUACCGAAGGAGCAGAGAACCAAGCUAGAUGAUAAAUCAGUUCCCUGCAUAUUCAUCGGAUAUGGAGAUGAAGAGUUCAGGUACAGACUGUGGGAUCAUGUAAAGAAGAAGGUCAUCAGAAGAAGAGAUGUAAUUUUCCGAGAAAGUGAAGUUGGAACUAUUGAUGAUCUAUCUGAAGGCCAAGAAAAAGAAUGGUACAAUCCCUAAUCUUGUUACCAUUCAUUUUAAUUCUAACCCUCCCAUAAGUGCAGAAAGUACAAUCCAUGAAGUUGCUGAACAUGAAGAGCAAGCUAAUGAGAUUGUUGAGCAGGGGGAGCAACUUGGAUAUUUAAGUGGGUCCUGCAGAAUUCAACGUCGAGUUCCAGGUGUUGGAUAUCAACACCAGUUACAACCUACUUCUGGGCAGACCAUUCAUUCAUAUGGUUGGGGCUGUGCCGUCUACCCUUCACCAACUAAUGAAGUUUGUUUGGAAUGACCAGGAAUUGGUCAUUUAUGGUGGAGCUGGUAAAUGCCACCGGUGAUGACUUGGCUCCACAGCCUCCUAUGCCUACCGUGUACAAGAUAAUUGCUACCGUCAUGCUCCAGAAUGGUUUCGAACCAGGUUUCGGAUUGGGGAAGCACUUUCAAGAAAUCAUCGAGCCUAUCUAAAUGCCCGCCAAAUAAGCAAAGUUUGGUUUGGGGUAUGUCCCCACAGAUGCUGACGAAGCAGAGAUGAAGAACAAGAGUAUUUAUCAAGCAUUGGCUGGGCCAAUUCCUCAUCUGUACCAGUCAUUUCCGGUACGAGAAAAUGUCAACGAUGUUGGUCUCGAGGAAGGAAUCUGGGGCCUUUUUGGGGAGAUUAAUACGGUCAUCGAGGAAGAGGCUGGGACAUCAGGCAUCCGUGAUGCAGAGCCUGAUGAGCGAUUGUAGAACUGGACCUCCACACCACUCCUGAUUUCCCGCUCAUCUGGGUAGAAAAGAUAUGUGUCUUUGUUUAUUUUAAAAUCGGUGGUAGUUCAGAAGAGGCCCGAGACCCACCAUUUAUGCAAUUGUUAUUUGUUUGAAGCUUUUAAAUUCCCUUUGUGAUAUUUAAAAAGGCAAAAUAACCCUCGGCCAUGGCCAAAGUUUAUGCUUGUCUUUCAAUUUAAAUGAAAAGCCUCUUUUAUUGAAAAAUUGUUUAUUUAUCUGAUUAUAUUUUACUUUUCUAACUUUGUCUGUUUAUGAUUUCAGUAAUAAUAAUUUAAAACCUGCCAAUGUCAUGAACCGAGUGAAAAAAAAAGGCAUGUAAUGAUGAGUACGAGGAAUAUGAAGAAGAAAAUAAGGUACCCGAACAUGUUACUGAGGAGUUUCAACAAUUCGAGAAUCAACACAAGCCAAAUCUUGAAGAAACUGAAACUGUGAAUCUCGGAGAUGAGGAAUGUGUUAAAGAAGUCAGAAUCAGUGUCCAUCUGACUGAAGCCCAAAAAAGAGACCUGAUUCAUUUGCUCAGGGAGUAUAUUGAUGUAUUUGUCUGGUCUUAUAAAGACAUGCCAGGGCUGAGCACGAAUAUGGUGUCCCACAAGUUGCCGAUCAAUCCAGAUUUUAAUCCAGUAAAACAAAAGACUCGAAAAUUCAUGUCUGAGUUGAUUUUGAAGAUCAAAGAAGAGAUUACAAAGCAGAUCGAGUCCCAAGUAGUGGAAGUGACGCGGUAUCCGACUUGGUUAGCUAAUCUUGUUCCGGUUGCCAAGAAAGACGGAAAAAUCAGAAUUUGUGUUGACUAUAGAGAUCUCAACAAAGCUAGCCCGAAAGAUAAUUUUCCAUUGCCAAACAUUCACAUCCUCAUUGAUAACUGUGCUAAGCAUGAGUUGUAGUCAUUUGUGGAUUGUUAUGCUGGUUACCACCAGAUCCUGAUGGACGAAGAAGAUGUAGAAAAGACAGCUUUCAUCACUCCAUGGGGUGUAUAUCAUUAUCGGGUGAUGCCUUUUGGUCUCAAGAAUGUCGGUGUUACUUAUAUGAGGGCCAUGACAACCAUAUUUCACGAUAUGAUUCACAAGGAGAUCGAGGUGUAUGUAGAUGAUGUCAUAAUCAAGUCCCGCGAGAGUUCGGAUCAUUGGACUCAUUUGAGGAAGUUCUUUGAUCGCUUGCACCGAGACAAUUUGAAGUUAAAUCCCUCCAAGUGUGCUUUUGGAGUGCCAGCUGGCAAGUUGUUGGGAUUUAUAGUUAGCAGGAGGGGCGAUCCAGGAAUUACCUCCUCCGAAGAGCAAGAAAGAGGUGAUGAGUUUUUUAGGAAGGUUGAACUACAUCAACCGGUUCAUAGCUCAAUCCACCAUGGUGUGUGAGCUCAUUUUUAAGUGAUUAAAAAAAGAUGCCUCGACCAAGUGGACCGAAGAAUGUCAAACUGCUUUUGAUACCAUCAAGAACUAUUUGUCCAAUCCGCCGGUGUUGGUCCCUUCGCGAGAAGGGAUUCCAUUAUUGCUAUAUUUGUCUGUCUCAGAUAACACAUUAGGAUGCGUGCUUGGUCAACAUGACGAAACUGGGAAGAAAGAGCAAGCCAUUUAUUACUUGAGCAAAAGGUUCAGUCCAUAUGAGGGUCGUUACACUCUUUUGGAGAGAACAUGUUGUGCUUUGACUUGGAUCGCUCAAAAGUUGAGACAUUAUUUGUCUUCUUAUACCACAUACCUUAUUUCCAGGAUGGACCCUUUGAAGUAUAUUUUUCAGAAAGCAAUGCCGAUCGAGAAGUUGGCUAAAUGGCAAAUGCUUUUGAGUGAAUUUGACAUCGUGUACGUGACUCAGAAGGCGAUAAAGGCACAAGCCUUAGCCGAUCAUCUUGCAGAGAAUCCAGUUGAUGAGGAGUAUGAACCACUCAAGACUUAUUUUCCUGACGAGGAAGUUUCAUUUGUGGGUGAAGAUAUUUAUAAAGUGUACCCCGGAUGGAGAGUAUUCUUUGAUGGAGCGGCGAAUCAUCAAGGGAAAGGUAUCGGAGCAGUCUUAGUGUCAGAAUCUGGUCAACACUAUCCUAUGGCGGCUAAACUCCUAUUUGAUUUCACGAACAACAUGGCAAAAUACAAAACUUGCAUCCUCGGUCUGAAGAUGACAAUUGAUAUGAACGUUCACGAGCUGUUGGUUAUCGGAGAUUCAGAUCAAGGAGAAUGGGCCGUAAAGAACCCAAAGAUCACGUCGUAUGUGCAGUAUAUACGGAAGUUGUGCAAGAGACUUCGCAAGAUUGAAUUCAGGCACACUCCCAGGACACAAAAUGAGUUGGCCGAUGCUCUCGCCACCAUUGCCUCAAUGAUUAAACAUUCAGAUACAAGUUAUAUUGAUCCUUUUGAUAUAGAGGUAAAAGAGCAGCAUGUUCAUUGUUCACAUGUUGAAGCAGAACCAGAUGGUUUGCCUGGGUAUUUUGACAUCAAAAGGUAUUUAGAGACCGAAACUUAUCCUGAGAAUGCAACGUUCAAUCAGAAGAAGUCGAUACGCCGUAUGACUCUCAAUUUCUUUGCAAGUGGGGAAAUCUUUUAUAGGAGGACUCCAAAUUUAGGUCUUCUCAAAUGUGUUAAUGCUAGUGAAGCUGCAAAGCUUCUUGAACAGAUACAUGUUGGAGUUUGUGGUACUCAUAUGAAUGGGCUGACUUUAGCGAGGAAGAUCCUCCGAGCCGGUUAUUUCUGGAUGACUAUGGAACAUGAUUGCUGCAAGUUUGUGCAGAAAUGUCAUAAAUGUCAAGUGCAUGGAGAUUUGAUUCAAGUCCCGCCUCAUGAACUCAAUGAUAUGAGUUUACCUUGGUCGUUUGUAGCUUGGGGUAUAGAUGUCAUUGGUCCAAUAGAGCCAGCCGCCUCUAACGGACACAGAUUCAUUUUGGUUGCCAUUGACUACUUCAUCAAGUGGGUGGAAGCAGAUUCGUACAAGUCGGUGACCAAGAAAGUUGUAGCUGAUUUUGUUUGCAACAAUUUGAUAUGUAGGUUCGGUGUACCAGAGUUUAUCAUUACUGAUAAUGGAACGAAUCUCAAUAGUCACUUGAUGAGAGAGAUAUAUGAACAAUUCAAGAUUACUCACCGAAAUUCGACCGCAUAUCGUCCCCAAAUGAACGGAGCUGUAGAAGCCGCCAACAAGAACAUAAAGAAGAUUCUGAGGAAAAUGAUUGACAAUCAUAGAGGUUGGCACGACAUGUUUCCAUAUGCUUUGUUGGGUUACAGAACGACUGUCAAGACGUCGAUUGGAGCUACUCCAUACUUAUUAGUAUAUGGAACAGAAGCAGUCAUACCUACGGAAGUUGAGAUACCUUCAUUAAGAAUCAUCCAAGAAGUUGAAUUGAGUGAUGCGGAUUGGAUUCGCAAGCGGAUUGAUCAGUUAACAUUGAUUGAUGAGAAGAGAAUGGUUGUUGUUUGUCAUGGUCAACUUUAUCGACAGAGAAAGAUUCGUGCUUUCCACAAAAGAGUAAGAGCCAGAAUAUUUGAAGUGGGUCAGUUGGUUCUCAAACGCAUUUUUCCUCAUCAAGCUGAGUACAAAGGGAAAUUUGCACCAAAUUGACAAGGACCCUACAUGGUUCGCAAAGUGUUAUCCGGAGGAGCUUUAGUCCUGUCGGAGAUGGAUGGCACCGAAUGGCCGAAAUCGAUCAACUCAGAUGCUGUCAAGAGAUACUAUGUGUAAAACUUCAGUUUGUAUUUAUGUUAUUUCCUUGUAAUCGUUCUAUUUGCUUGUAAUUGCUUUGUUUAGAAUCUAUCCCUUUGUAAUGAACUACGUCUGACCUGAAUUCUCAAGAAUGAGAUACGUAGGCGGCCUAUGUCGGCCUCGGUCACCCCUUUAUCCCUUUUUAGUAUUUUUUUUGUAUUUGAAUUACGUCUGACCUGAAUUCUCAAGAAUGAGAUACGUAGGCGGCCUAUGACGGCCUCGGUCACCCCUUUAUCCCUCUUUAAAUAUUUCCUUCUGUAUUUGAACUACGUUUGAACUGAUUCUUGCCUCGAUGGGAUACGUAGGCGCUACAAGGGUUCGGUCAUGUCUCCCGUAAGAUUUAUAUUUUUCUUUACGAUAGAAAUUGGGAUACAAUUUUUGAGAGGGACUCAGAAAUUCUCUAGAAGAAGAUCUCUCCAACAAAGUUGAGACUGAAGUUACUUUGAAAUUUGCAACUGGGACAUAAUUUUUGAGAGAAUCUCAAAAAUUCCAUGGUUUGUUCAUCAAUAGUAAAGAUAAGCCAAGUCAGUUAACUGGGACAGAAAUUUUUGAGGAUGACCUUAAAAAUUCAAUAAGGUUCAUCGGCAAUUUAGAGCAACUUUGAAUACCUCCCAGCAAAUGAUCACAUAGACCUCGAGUCAUCAAUCUCAAAGACGUUUGCUAAAGCUUGGCAUGACAUAACACUUGGCAGUGACCUUUUUCGAACAUUACUUUUGAAAAUAUGUUUUCCUUAAAAACUUUUCCUUCAUGUUUCAAUUAUUUUUGCAUGAAAAUGUUUUGUCUUAUCUAUCAAGAAACAGGAGAUCAGAGAAAUCAACUGGAGAUAGCAAGACAAGAAGCAGACAACCGAAGAGAUCGACACAGAUCAGUUCAUUUUUAAAACUAACAAUUUUUUCUAUGGGUGCAUUAUAGGUUCGCCUCAAAAUCAACAUAUUCCACCAUUUAAUGAAUAUGGAGAAGUCAAAAGGGCGAAGAGCUCCACAAAAUUGACAAUUUUUUCUGUGGUAUUGUCAGGAAAUAUUUUUACGCUUCUUAUAUAAAGAUUUUGGAACAUGAAUAACAUUAUUUCAUUCAAUUCCCAACAAAGCGAAGAUCAUAAUGAACAUUGUGACUAUGUUCGGAGAUGGAACAAACGAAAACCACGAAGAAAGCAAUAUUAUUAUUUUCCAACAACUAAAGACACCUGAAAGACGUUUAUCUGCAUUAUAUUAUCAUAUAUGAUAAUAUUCUUACCCUGAAGGUUAUUUAUAUUGUAUUGUCGAAUAAGACGAUAUCACUACUCGGAGAGUCAUUUAUAUCGUAUUGUCAAAUAAGAUGAUACCACUACUCCGAGGGUCAUUUUAUUUAUAUUGUCGAUUGAGACGAUAUCGUCAUCCAAAAGAUACCUAGAAGAUCACCUAUGUUGCUCGGUGAAGAAUUAUCUUCAUUUGGUAUCAGGGAGGCAUCAUCAAAAGAUUCAUGUAUUGUGGGAAAAACGUCAUGCAUCGCGGAGAAGUCAUGCAUAACAAGAGAAAAGAUUCAUGCAUCGUAGAGAAGAUCCAUGCAUCGCGAGAAAAGAUUCACGCAUUGCAAGAGAAGAUCCAUGCAUCGCGGGAAAAAGAUUCAUGCAUUGCAAGAGAAGAUUCAUGCAUCGCGAGAAAAAAUUCACGCAUUUCAAGAGAAGAUCCAUGCAUCGCGGGAAAAAGAUUCAUGCAUCGCAGAAAAAGAUUCAUGGCUUGCAAGAGAAGAUUCAUGCAUCGCGGGGAAAAAAGAUUCAUGCAUCGCGAGAAAAAGAGAUCCAUGCACUGCAAGAAAAGAUUCAUACAUUGCAAGAGAAGAUUCAUGCAUUGCGGGAAAAAGAUUCAUGCAUCGCGGGAAAGAAAUUCAUACCUCGCAAGAGAAUGAUUCAUGCAUAGCAAGAGAAGGAGUUAUACAUCGCAAGAGAAGGAUCAACAUCAAUUGCAUCAUUUUCUUUGCAAAGACGACAUCAAGAGAACUAUCAACAUAUUACAUUAAUCUAUUUUACUUCUUUGACAUCAAAGGAAGAGUACAUUGAAGAUCAUAUUGCAAAUAUGAGACACAAGCCUUAUUUGCUUCACGUCAAACCCGAUAGAAUUGACAUCAAAUGUUCAAGGAGAACAAUUAAGUGUCAACACGGUAAAAGACACUAUCUCCCAUUUGAAUUGCAUUUUUAUGCUAAUAAGUUUUAUCUUAGUCUUUGUCGAGAGCAUCCGAAAGAAUGAAUUCUCCAAAACAAACCACAGGUGAGGACGACAUCAAAAGGAUGCAGCACAACAUGAAACUUUUUCUUAGCAGUGAACUGGGACAUAGUCCAAAGAGGAGUGCCAAACUCUUAGGACGCGAGCAAAGGAGCGACUUCCACCACAAUCAAACCACACCCUUAUCAGAAGGCAUGUGGGUUUUUCUUUAGGUUUCCUGGUUUCAGUUUCGCAUCCGAAAUUUUUGGUCUCUACCGGAAGUAGCUUUCCAAUCUGAGUGACAAUGCACCAAGAGUUUUGGAAAUUAUGUUCUUGUAAGUUCUUAAUUAUGGGUGUGAAGCGCGCCAUAUUCAUGACUAAGAGGUUGUAAGCCUCAUUUUUCAUACUCGACUUACUUUGUCACUCCUCCUGAACCAAAGGUUAUCUUGCAUAAGAGAUUUCCUUUUCAACUGAUUGAGUCGAACUACAAGCAGCUUGAUUCCCUAGGUCGAGGGAUAUGUAAGCGGGCUCAAUGUUGAAAACUAGGCUGUAUUCCAACAUUCGCCCUUAAAUCCUAUUUCUGAGCACUCUGAUUCCUCCAUAAUUCGGUAUCAGGAUGGCUUUUGAAUUCUUUCAAAAUCAUGCGUGAGAUCUAGCGUACCGAACUACAAGUGGCCUGAGUUCUCAUAUAGCCUGAGAUAUGUAGGAAACUCAUUUUCGAGGUUCGGCCAUAAUUUCUAUAGUCCAUACCAAAUCCUUUUUUCCCCAAAGAUGAAGAUGUGGUUGGCCAAAAUUGGAUUAGUCAAUUUCAUUUUCCUCGAAUUUCUUGCAUCAAUCCAAGUCAAACGUGGGACAGUUGUUGACACCCAAUUUUGACCAUCCCCGAUAAUAAUUAAUUUCUGAGCUUCUUAAUUUUUCAAACGAUUCGGAAUAAUUAGCUUUAUAUAAUUCAAAUUAGUUUCAAGGUCAUUUUAAGUACUUUCAAUCGAUCUUUACAGUAUUUUGAAUAAUAACUAUACUUCAUGUAAUUAUAUAUGUAUUUAGUAUAUCUUACAAAUAUUUUGAAAAUCAUAGCGAAAGAGUUCUACAUUUAUUAAAUUAAGCAUUCUAAAUUAGUUUGUAUUUAAAUCAAUUAUGUUAUAAGUAAGUUAAUUAUUUUAUUUCGUUAAGAUUGAGAAGUUCGUUAGCUAAUUAUAGUGAUUCGUCUUAUUUAAAAAUUACUCGCCAAAUUUAUCCCAAUUGAUUCGAUUUGACUACAUCUUUAAUCUCCGAUAGGCUAUAAUUUAAAUCAUAUGGUCAAAGCCUAAUCUAAUUCUCACAAAUUUAAUUUGUCUUUACCCUUGACCCAUCUUAAAAGACCAAAUUUUGGGUUGAAUUCCAACUUCCUGCAACCCGAUUCCAUUUUCCAGCCCACUGUUCUUAUUUCUCAAUCAGCCCAACACCUUUCCAAUCCAGCACCCCACCACCUCGAUCCAUUUCUCCCCCGACCCGGCCCAAUCUUCCUCAAAAGAAACCCCAGAACCUUUCCAACGUUCAUAGCAGUCCAAACAACAACCCACAGCAGAUGAACAGCAAUGCUGUUCCAGUCCUAAGCUUCUGCAAAACCGUCCUUGUAGCUGCGGGAUCACGCCACGUCGAGCAGCAAGGACAAUGGAGUCGAUCCCAGCCGCCCAUAUCCCUUUUCCUCUUCCGAAAUGGGGAGAAAUCUCAGAAAAGUUUGUCUCCCUUUAAUGGUGAAAUUAUAUUUGGAGUUUUGAAUUUUGAAUGGGCCCUUUGAAUUUGAAUUUUUUAUCCAUUUUCCUCCAAGGUCGGAACCCUAGUAUCCAUCUAUAUAGCCCACUACUAUUUUGUUAAGAGAAGGGGGGACUUUUUGAGAAAAGUGGAGAGAUUUUUGGAGUUGGGAAAUUUUUACCAAGGGCAUCAAAAAAUAAUUAAUACCUACUAAAUAUAUUUCAAGGAAAACAGAGGAGGGAUCCUUUUUUUUGUGUUUUGGGUUUGACAUUCUUGCCCAAACUUCUUAGCUAUUGUUCGUGUUUGGAUUUCGCGUGGUGAAGGUUGUCGUUCCAACUCGCCCUGUUCUAGUCGCUGCCCCCGAAUAGGUAACAUUCUCAUUCUUACCUCUUAUUCCGUCUUAGCAAAUCGUGUGUUGUUUAUUACUGUCCGAUGAUUAUUUUCUUUGAAAUUCCAUGUGUGGAUUUAUAGCUUGUCGUACCCUUUUAAUGUGGUUUGAAUACUUGGGUUUGUUAUAUUCCCGGCAUGACGUUGACAUUUGAUGACUCAAGAUGCAUUCUUUUAAUUUUUCCUCGAUCCUAUUUAUCGUAAUCUUGGUUCUUUAGUGUAUGAGUUUCUUGUUUGAGCUCCCAUCUCUUUCAUUGAAAUAAGCUUAAUUCUAGAUGAUGGUGUGGAUGUAUUUGGCUGUCAUUUGCUUACUGUUAAUCAGGCCAUGUAUAUUUUGAGAGUGUUGGCAGUUAGUCGAAAACUAAUUUCAUUUUUUUUUGUGGUUCUAGUCUCCUAUUCUUAAGCUACUUCUUUUUUUUUAGAAUCCGAAAUGUGAGUCUGGUCAUGAAAUUUAGACUUCGAAUUUUCUUCUUUCACUCUUGUCCCGCGUGUGUCUAUCCUCGUUGAGUGGGUUAUUUCAUAACUUGAAUCUAGGGACUGCUCAUCCAUAGUCAAUCAUGACUUUUAGACUCAUUUUUUGAAGUCAUUGUUUCUUUGUUCUUUAGACCUUCCCUAGGUAUCGAGGUUCCAAAGAUAUGGCUAAAGAUUUUUAUUUUUUUUAUUUUUUUUGUGAAUAGGUUUGCCAGUAGUGUAACUGUCAUAGCAUUUCUUAUCCAAGUUGAGAGUAUUUAAUUUAUGCAAAUGGUAUACUUGUGUUGUUUCUUUAAAAAGUUCAUUUACCUAAUGUUGAGUUAUUUUUAUUUUUUCUCUAAGUUCUUUUAUCACUCUUUAAUAAUUAAUGUCUAGUUAAUUUUGCUUACUCUAAAAAGAUUCCUAAAUUUGUUAAAUUUGUGGUCAUCUGUAAUGUUAAGUCCAUUGUGCACUUUGUGAAACAUAAAGGGUUUGAUUCGGUGCAAACACUAUAGUAAUUUGCUUUGAUAAUACUUCUCUAUGUUAAGGUCUUUGGUGUAUAUAUUUUGUUUUUAUUUUAUUUUAUUUUCUUCUCUUUAUAUCAUAGCAGUGUUGGUUUAUGUUUAUUUCCCCCUAAUCCUUGUGUUUUCUUUUUUCAUGUGCAAUUCUCUUGUAUGAGUCCAUCGGACUCCCCCUUUUGCAUCGUGUUGGGUUAAUCAACCCAACAUUCUCUUGAGUUGGCCUUGGCAAAAGAUCAGAUUAGGGAAGCUAAAAUAUAGUCCCGGAAACUAAUGUACAAGUUCUGAAAGCAGGCUGAUAUACAACUUGUAUACACUAAGUAUACAUUGAUAUACAGUUCAAAAUGCGGAAAUACUAGGCUUAAAUUUGAAAUACAGGUUGGAGGCGUCAAUGACGGUCGUAUACAGUUGGUAUACGGUUCAAUAUACAGAAAAGGGGUCAAAACGUGGCCUAUAUACGACAAUAUACACCCAAUGUAUACAGGGAGCCACAUGAACGAAAAUGGGCCAAAGCCCAAUUUUCUUUGCACAGCAGGUCCAGGAAGUCAAUGGGUUGAAACCCAUUAUUUAUAGCUGGCCCAUGAUGGUGGGCAAAGUGGUAGACUUAGGACAGGUGGGCCAAAAGCCCAAUUUAAUUGGAUUUGGGUCAAAAUUCAACUCUAAUUAUUUCCUUUCCCUCCUUUACUUAUUUUAUUUGUAUUUGACUAACACUUUGAUUAUCUUAUGGUUCAAUUUAAUUAAAUUUCCGAGGAGGGUCAUUUCAUUUUAUUUUCCAAAUUAAAGUAUAUAUAUUUUAGUACUUGGCUCCUAUUUUAAUGUUAGUUUGGUCAAUACUUAAAUUAUUCCCCUUUAGAAAAAUUCCCCCUUGGUUCAUUUCCCCUUAAGAUAAUUAAAUGACAAUAAUAAAAAUAAAGUGAUGAAAUAAUAAUAGAAAUAAAUAAAUAAGUAAAAAUAAAUGAGUUCAUUUACUUAGUUAAAGUUUUCAAAAAAUUAGUUAAAGUAAAUGAGUUCUUUUAGUUAGUUAAAAUUUAAAAAAUAAGUUAAAAUAAAUGAGUUCAUUUACUUAGUUAAAAUUUAAAAUUAGUUAAAAUAAAUGAGUUAUUUUACUUAGUUAAAAUUUCAAAAUUAGUCAAAGUCGUAAUGAGUUCUUUUACUUAGUUAAAAUUUCAAAACUAGUCAAAAUCAUUUUUAGUCAAAUCGCCGAUCAACCGCGAGUUAGCGGGCAUUCCGAGGGUGUAACACCUUCUCGGAAUGUACAUUGAACUUCGAACCCUUUUAUUUUCAAUUGAUUUUAUCUGUUUAAAUCUUUUUGAAAGCUUUAAGUUUUUUCUUGAUUUUUUACUAAAAAAUUAAGUGGCGACUCUGUUUUUUUUUUGAAAUUCGAUUUCUCUUAAAUCAUAAGUUUAAUCGAUUUUUUGAAAACUUAGUCAUUUUCUUUUAUUUAUAUUUUUUGAGUAAAACAAUAAAAACGGUUAACAUUAGAGUUUUAUUGUUAUUGAAAUUUAUUAAAAGAAAAAUGUUGUUUUGUCUCUAUGAAUAAUGGUAAAAAAAAAAGGGGCUCGGCUGGGAAGAGGAGUGUACCAUGAGAGAAAUUUUGAACAUUUUGUUUCAUGGGAAAGUGUUGUGCUGUACCAAUUACCAAUAAACGCAAAUUUAAGAAUUCACAAUAUUAUAUAAUAAACAACAUUAAAUUAAGUUGAAAAUUGUGAUUCUAAAAUAUAUGGCACAAUUUAUAAUUUUCAAUUUUUUAAAAAUUGAAUACAAGAUAACUAUUAUUACUCAUAAUAUACUCAAGCGGAUAAAUUCAAAUCAACAACCUCUCAUUCAUAUCCAUAUGUUUUCUAAUACAAUUCAAAUUAAAAUUUUAAAAUAUCCAAUACAAACUUUGAGUAAAUCUAAUAUAGCGGUUGUAUUAAUUAAGAUUAUUUUUACCUUUAAAUCAAUUUUAUAUUAUUAUAUUUUUACACAAAUUUAAUACUAGAAAAUAUUUUGAUUUUAACUAAAACAUAUAUAGAAAAUGUAUUAACAUGCCAUUUAAUUUCAUGAUAUCAAAUAUUUUAUAUGGAAUGUUAGAAUUAAUAAACUGUAAAAGGAAAAGAAUAAAGAUAAGUAAAAUAAAUUUGGGUUGGCUGUUUUAAAAGAAAAUUAGAUGGGUUUGUAUUUUAGCUCAUUUAAUUAAUGACAUGAACUAUUACUGUUCGCCAUGUGUACACGGUGGUAUGUCAAAAUCAGAUAUGUUUUUCGUUUAAAAAUAAUGACAUGGAUGAGCCCUUUCACUGUUGAACAGAGCAUAAAUGAACCCAAUUUUUAAUAGAUGAUAUAAAUAGUCCUAUUUUCAAAAUUCGAUAGUAUAUUUAAUCAUUUUUUCCCUAUUUCUUAUUAAAUUUUGUAUCAAAUUAAACUAAAUCAAAGUAAAAUGAAAUAGAUAUAUUCAUAUUCGUCUAAAUUACUAACACAAUUUCCUAAUGAAAAGGACUAUAUAUAAGUUGAAUACUACUCAGUGACCACAACAACACAACCGUGCGUGGUAGGUAGAAGCAGCAAAAGCGAAUCUAGAAUCUUAGAGAAUUUUAUUAUUCGAUUCAUUACAUUUUGUGAUUUUUCACACAUAAAAUUUCAAUAGUUCACAUCAAAAGUAUUAGGUUCAAAUCGACGACCAUGUUACUUUUGAAUGUCUACUCAAUAACAACAACAACAAAACUACCGACUACCCGGCGCAUUUGUAGAGAUGCUACCUUUAGCCUCAAUGAGGUGGCGGUGGUGAAGAACCUUCCUACUUCCGUGAACAAUGUCAGGAAAAGGAUAUCGAAUGAUCAAUUGAUCAUAGCAUACAAUUUGCAAAUCAUAUAGUUGAUAAAUCAGAUAACAAAAACUUAUACUAAACCUAAAAUGACGAAUAUUGUGGUACUCCAACAAAGGCAAAUCAAACCGUCCGCCUAUUUGAAGUGUUGAAAGUAUAUUUUUGAUACUUCUAAUUUUCCCAUCGUUGAAAGUAAGUCGUUGAGGAAUAUCGAGAAUUUGAGUAGGAAAGGCCAUGGCUUCUUGAUAUACACCAAGGAGCAACAUAGAAAGGAACAAGGCAAAGAAGGAGGGAGCCAUUAAAACUUAAUUUAAUUUGAAGAAUAAAAAGAUCAUAUAGUCGAUAAAUUAAUUUUGCAUGAAUGUACGUGUUAGUGUAGGUCAAUUUAUAGUAUUCAUAAGAGAUAGUUAGGUAGCUAUAAAGUCAUAUUUUGACUGAAGCUCUAUGUUAUGACUUAUGCUAUUGUAUAUGAUACAUUGCUGUUUCUUGUUGAAUUGAAGCACAAUUUAAUUAAAAAUUCUGCUGGAGAAUUCUCACUGUAUAUAACACCCUUGUAUUUUACCCUCCGUUACCUUAGAAAUGAGUGGUUCUGAAUUUUUAACCUCUCCUUUAAGAUCAAAAAUCAAAAUUUAUUAAAUUUGGAAUUUUGUUCAUGAGACAAACGAGGUCAAAAGUUCAAAAUCAUUCUCGUAAAUCACCCCCAAAGUGGAAGGAGCAUGCCAUUGGUACCUAACCUUUCAUAAGCUUAUUGGAAAUUUUUACAAUGUAAAUCAAGCACAACUGAUCAUAUAUCUACAUUUGCAAUUUAAAGAGUAAAAAAUGAUGAAAAGUACUAUUAUGUCUCUGUAAAUCAACAAAAAUAAAGGGAAAAUUACAAUCUAUGUCGCGUAUCAUGAUAAAAUACUUAUCAAUCAUUAUUUAUUAAAAAACAUGCAAAAUUCAAAGUGGAGAAGCAAAGGUGAAUUGAAUGCAAAUUGAAUAUCAACCACCAUUUUAAUCUAAUGACACAAUAUAUGAAUCUAUAAUGAAUUUAUAAUUAAGUGGAUGAGUCUUGUGUCCCUACAAAGAAUUUCCACACGGUAUUAUUCUUAAAAGCAAUGGAUAUAUUCAGAUUAAAAAAGAAGUUUUUCGAAAUGAAAAUUUUAAAAGUCAACCUAAUAUCUGUAAUAUCUCUAAUAAUAGGAGGGUAAAAGUUUGCAUGUUAAUUAAGUCAAUAAUAAUAAUACGAGGGUCAAAGUUUUUUAAAACUUUCUUCAUUGAAAAAUUACUACACAUAAUUAAAAUUAUUUAUAUGUACCGUUCAGCUUCUUCAUAUUUGAAUAUCCAUAAUAAAUAUCUUAAUUUCGUCACUGAUACAUAAAAAUCAAUGGUUUUUACGAGAGUGACUAAAAUAUUCAACAUUAAGGAAUAGUGAACAAAUAGAAGAAUUCUAAAUGACUAAAACUAAAAAAAAAAUUGGGGGUUGGGGGGGGGUGNNNNNNNNNNNNNNNNNNNNNNNNNNNNNNNNNNNNNNNNNNNNNNNNNNNNNNNNNNNNNNNNNNNNNNNNNNNNNNNNNNNNNNNNNNNNNNNNNNNNNNNNNNNNNNNNNNNNNNNNNNNNNNNNNNNNNNNNNNNNNNNNNNNNNNNNNNNNNNNNNNNNNNNNNNNNNNNNNNNNNNNNNNNNNNNNNNNNNNNNNNNNNNNNNNNNNNNNNNNNNNNNNNNNNNNNNNNNNNNNNNNNNNNNNNNNNNNNNNNNNNNNNNNNNNNNNNNNNNNNNNNNNNNNNNNNNNNNNNNNNNNNNNNNNNNNNNNNNNNNNNNNNNNNNNNNNNNNNNNNNNNNNNNNNNNNNNNNNNNNNNNNNNNNNNNNNNNNNNNNNNNNNNNNNNNNNNNNNNNNNNNNNNNNNNNNNNNNNNNNNNNNNNNNNNNNNNNNNNNNNNNNNNNNNNNNNNNNNNNNNNNNNNNNNNNNNNNNNNNNNNNNNNNNNNNNNNNNNNNNNNNNNNNNNNNNNNNNNNNNNNNNNNNNNNNNNNNNNNNNNNNNNNNNNNNNNNNNNNNNNNNNNNNNNNNNNNNNNNNNNNNNNNNNNNNNNNNNNNNNNNNNNNNNNNNNNNNNNNNNNNNNNNNNNNNNNNNNNNNNNNNNNNNNNNNNNNNNNNNNNNNNNNNNNNNNNNNNNNNNNNNNNNNNNNNNNNNNNNNNNNNNNNNNNNNNNNNNNNNNNNNNNNNNNNNNNNNNNNNNNNNNNNNNNNNNNNNNNNNNNNNNNNNNNNNNNNNNNNNNNNNNNNNNNNNNNNNNNNNNNNNNNNNNNNNNNNNNNNNNNNNNNNNNNNNNNNNNNNNNNNNNNNNNNNNNNNNNNNNNNNNNNNNNNNNNNNNNNNNNNNNNNNNNNNNNNNNNNNNNNNNNNNNNNNNNNNNNNNNNNNNNNNNNNNNNNNNNNNNNNNNNNNNUGAUUUGGAAAAUAUUUUACCCAACCAAACAUGAAAAAAUUGGAAAACAUUUUUCGGAAAAUGUUUUUAAAAUUAAUUGACGAUUAUUAAUGAAAUUUAAAACCCCCAAACUCUUAAUUCUGACUUCGACUCUUAGCCAAUGAGAGAACUGCACAAGUUAACUUCAUAAAACGUUACUAGAAGUAUGAAAUAUGUGCAUUUGUUUGAGCCUCGUGUAAAGUCAAUAUUCGAAUAAAAAAGAAAAGGUAGAGAAACCAAAAGUCAAAUCGAUAAUCGACAUCUUGAUUAUUUUCUACUAUUGAUUUAGCAUAUUUAUAAAUCAAUAAGUUGAAUUGAUAAUAUUCAAAAUCGAACGAAACCACUUGAUUGAUAAGCCUCCUAUGCGGGCAUAAUAAAAGAUUAUAUUAGGGGUAUGUUUGGUAGGGUGGAAAACAUAUUCAAAAAUAUAUUUUCCAAUUUUCUUGGUUAGUCAAAAUAAGAAAAAUGAUGUCCUUAAUAAAAAAUAGGGAACACAAAUUAUACGAGUGACAUUUCACAUUGAUUAUGUCAUCUCCAUCUUCCGAUACAAUUAUACAAAUAGAGGUGGACCCAAAAUUUAAAGACUUCGGAUGCACCAAAUAUAAUCUUUAAGCUAAAUUUAAAAUAAAAAUAACAAAAUAGAACUAAUUUGAUUUAACUUCAUGUCACGACCCAAAUCCAAUAUCUAGUUUUUGUAUUUUACUUUAUGUGACAUAGAUAGAAUUUAGAAAGUCAAUUAAAUUUUAAUAUGAUUUUUUAAAUAUUUUAAGUUGUUACUUAUUGUAAUUUAUAGAUUUUUUUUUACGUAGAUCUUGUCAUUAUAACAUCUAAUCAACUUUUUAGAGUGAUAUUGUUGUCAUCCAACAUGAAAAUCUAGCCAAAUCAUAUCAAAUAUCGAUUUGAUUCAAAUUUCAAUUCAAUUUAAUUUUUUUAUCAUAACGAUGAACAACCCUACUUUUUAAUCCAUCAUACUAACAAUUAGGCAUGUCCCUAAAAAUACAUUUCGAAACAGAUUCUUCACCAGUUGACGGGCAAUCAAUUUUUAUACAUAAAUUAAUUAAAUCUCUGAAGGAAAAUUUCGUCUGCCUAACUAAAUUUUAAAGCCGCACAACAAAUGUUAUUAUGCUAUUUAUAAGAUCACAAGUUUUUAAAUAUUCCUAAUUAUUUUCUUAAUAGGUGUGUUAAUUUAAAAGUGGACAAGUAAUUAAAGACAGAAGAAGUACAUAUUACUUCUUUUGUUCUCUUUUAUGCGACACAGAUAGAUUAAUUUUAUGAAUCAAUUGAUUUUUUUUAUAACCAAUCGAAUUUUUUGUAUGAUUUAAAAAAAAUAUUUUAAGUUGUCAAUUACCAUGAUUUAUAGUAUUUUUUACGUAAUUUUUAAAUAUAUAAAAAAUUUAAAAAUAAGAUAUAUAAAUUAAAACGAAAGAAAAAAAUAAAUAUAUGNNNNNNNNNNNNNNNNNNNNNNNNNNNNNNNNNNNNNNNNNNNNNNNNNNNNNNNNNNNNNNNNNNNNNNNNNNNNNNNNNNNNNNNNNNNNNNNNNNNNNNNNNNNNNNNNNNNNNNNNNNNNNNNNNNNNNNNNNNNNNNNNNNNNNNNNNNNNNNNNNNNNNNNNNNNNNNNNNNNNNNNNNNNNNNNNNNNNNNNNNNNNNNNNNNNNNNNNNNNNNNNNNNNNNNNNNNNNNNNNNNNNNNNNNNNNNNNNNNNNNNNNNNNNNNNNNNNNNNNNNNNNNNNNAUUUUAUAUAUAUAUAUAUAUAUAUAUAUGUAUAUAUAUAUAUGUAUGUAUAUUUAUUUGUGAACCACUAAUAAAAUUAAUUGACGAUUAUUAAUGAAAUUUAAAACCCCCAAACUCUUAAUUCUGACUUCGCCUCUUAGCCAAUGAGAGGACUGCACAAGUUAACUUCAUAAAACGUUAUUAGAAGUAUGAAAUAUGUGCAUUUUUUUGAGCCUCGUGUAAAGUCAAAUAUUCGAAUAAAAAAGAAAAGGUAGAGAAACCAAAAGUCAAAUCGAUAAUCGACAUCUUGAUUAUUUUCUACUAUUGAUUUAGCAUAUUUAUAAAUCAAUAAGUUGAAUUGAUAAUAUUCAAAAUCGAACGAAACCACUUGAUCGAUAAGCCUCCUAAGCGGGCAUAUUAAAAGAUUAUAUUAGGGGUAUGUUUGGUAGGGUGGAAAACAUAUUCUAAAAAAUAUUUUCCAAUUUUCUUGGUUAGUCAAAAUAAGAAAAAUGAUGUCCUUAAUAAAAAUAGGGAACACAAAUUAUACGAGUGACAUUUCACAUUGAUUAUGUCAUCUCCAUCUUCCGAUACAAUUAUACAAAUAGAGGUGGACCCAAAAUUUAAAGACUUCGGAUGCACCAAAUAUAAUCUUUAAGCUAAAUUUAAAAUAAAAAUAACAAAAUAGAACUAAUUUGAUUUAACUUCACUUUUGAGAGAAAGAUAUGCUUGCAAUUUGAUAAGUACAAUUAAGGAAGAACAAAGUGACAAACAACAUUUGCAACAAAAUCCAAACAAUUAAAUCCAUAGAUUAAUCUUGUCAUUAUAACAUCUAAUCAACUUUUUAGAGUGAUAUUGUUGUCAUCCAACAUGAAAAUCUAGCCAAAUCAUAUCAAAUAUCGAUUUGAUUCAAAUUUCAAUUCAAUUUAAUUUUUUUAUCAUAACGAUGAACAACCCUACUUUUCAAUCCAUCAUACUAACAAUUAGGCAUGUCCCUAAAAAUACAUUUCGAAACAGAUUCUUCACCAGUUGACGGGCAAUCAAUUUUUAUACAUAAAUUAAUUAAAUCUCUGAAGGAAAAUUUCGUCUGCCUAACUAAAUUUUAAAGCCGCACAACAAAUGUUAUUAUGCUAUUUAUAAGAUCACAAGUUUUUAAAUAUUCCUAUUUUUUAUAUUAAAUCAAACUAAAACAAACAAAGUGAAACGAAAUAAACAUAUUCAUAUAUGUUAGAAAAAAAUUACAACAUAAUUUUCUAAUGAAAAGGAACCCUACCAAUGCAUAAUUUCACACAUAAAAUAUUAAUAUUUUGCGUCAAAAGGAUUGGCUAAUUAUUAGCCGGAAAACUACCGACUACCCGGCGCAUUUGUAGAGAUGCUACCUUUGGCCUCAAUGAGGUGACGGCGGCGAAGAACCUUUCGAUUUCCGUGAUGGAUA